rnacentral:rRNA from 1 species
UACGGAGGGUGCAAGCGUUGUCCGGAUUUAUUGGGUUUAAAGGGUGCGUAGGUGGCCUUGUAAGUCCGUGGUGAAAGCCUCUCGCUUAACGAGAGAACUGCCAUGGAUACUGCAAGGCUUGGGUCCAGACGAGGUUGGCGGAAUGGAUGGUGUAGCGGUGAAAUGCAUAGAUACCAUCCAGAACCCCGAUUGCGUAGGCAGCUGACUAGGCUGGUACUGACACUGAGGCACGAAGGCGUGGGGAGCGAACAGG